GUUGACUUUGACACCCAUCACCUGAUAGGGUGGAUGAGUCUGGUUGGAUAGAGAAGUUGGCAACACAAGUCAGCGCAGAACAACGAUGGCUAGCCCAAAGGAUGAGGGUGAGGAGCCCGAACGGAAUCAACUCUCAGGUUCCUCAGAUGACUCCAAGACCAGUGAGGGGCUGAGAGCUAAAUGCAAACCCACCCAGGAGCUGCAGAGUCAAGAAAACCUUUUAAAAAAAGCUAUUUGCAGCGUUUAUCAAUUGGAUAAAGUACAUUUCCAUGAGAAAAAUUUGGAGUGUAUUUCUCUCUCUCUACCUGGUUUCUCCAGAAUUUGAAAACUAUUUGUAAGUAUACUUAAUUUAUGGCACUAUAGUUAUUUGCAUAAGUUCAAUACAAUCUGUUUUCUUUUGUAACAGAACAUCAUUUAAGACACUGGUUAUUUUACCAAAGUUUUGACUGGAAUGGCAUACUUCGAGGUUUAAACAGAUUGCUUUAAGGAAUCAAAGUUGACUUAUAGAGCCAAUAAAAAUCCCCGUGGGAAAGCUGGUCUCAUACUUUGGCUAUACAGUCACUAUACAAGGUGUCCUGACCUGUGGUAAGUAAAGAAUGUCACUUUCUGAUGGGCCCAGGAGUCUCAAGUUUUCCUGGGACCUCAAGGAGAGGAAAUCACUCAAUCCAUGUAGAUAUUUGUAGGCACAGAUAAAUCUGUGGCUGGGCUCAAGACUUUAAAAAGUCUAAUCUGAGAUUCCUAUGGAACAAAGUUCCAGCAAAGCCAAUUUUUUUAAAAAGCCUAUAUGAC
rnacentral:lncRNA from 10 species